GGGUGAGAGGUAUAGUAUCUCUGAUAUACAGGGGGUGAGAGGUAUAGUAUCUCUGAUAUACAGGGGUGAGAGGUAUACUAUCUCUGAUAUACAGGUGGUGAGAGGUAUAGUAUCUCUGAUAUACAGGGGGUGAGAGGUAUACUAUCUCUGAUAUACAGGGGGUGAGAGGUAUAGUAUCUCUGAUAUAGAGGGGGUGAGAGGUAUAGUAUCUCUGAUAUAUAUGGUGAGAGGUAUAGUAUCUCUGAGAAACAGGGGGUGUGAGUUAUAGUAUCUCUGAUCUAUAUGGUGAGAGGUAUCGUAUCUCUGAUAUACAGGGGGUGAGAGGUAUAGUAUCUCUGAUAUACAGGGGGUGAGAGGUAUAGUAUCUCUGAUAUACAGGGGUGAGAGGUAUACUAUCUCUGAUAUACAGGUGGUGAGAGGUAUAGUAUCUCUGAUAUACAGGUGGUGAGAUGUAUAGUAUCUCUGAUAUACAGGGGG
ensembl:lncRNA